UACGGAGGGGGCGAGCGUUGUCCGGAAUCACUGGGCGUAAAGGGCGCGUAGGCGGCCCGGUAAGUAGGGGGUGAAAUCUUGCGGCUUAACCGCAAGGCUGCCUUCUAAACUGCCAGGCUCGAGCACAGUAGAGGCAGGUGGAAUUCCCGGUGUAGCGGUGGAAUGCGUAGAGAUCGGGAAGAACAUCGGUGGCGAAGGCGGCCUGCUGGGCUGUUGCUGACGCUGAGGCGCGACAGCGUGGGGAGCAAACAGG
rnacentral:rRNA from 1 species